CAGCCGUAAACUAUGCUCGCUAGGUGUAUCGGUGACCACGAGUUACCGAGGUGCCGAAGGGAAACCGUGAAACGUGCCGCCUGGGAAGUACGGUCGCAAGGCUGAAACUUAAAGGAAUUGGCGGGGGAGCACCACAACAGGUGGAGCCUGCGGUUUAAUUGGACUCAACGCCGGGAAGCUCACCGGAUAGGACAGCAGAAUGAUUGCCGGGCUGAAGACCCUGCAUGACUAGCUGAGAGGAGGUGCAUGGCGUAGACGUCU
rnacentral:rRNA from 1 species